GGGUCGUUAGCUCAGUUGGUAGAGCAGAGGACUUUUAAUCCUAAGGUCGGGGGUUCGAGCCCCCCACGACCCA
rnacentral:tRNA from 1 species